AAGGCUUAGGGAAUAUGUAAGGAACUGCUGUUUUCCAGCAUGUCUUCCAACUCACCUGAUGGACAGCAGAACACAGAGGGCAAGUUGAAAGACAUAGGGAUACAGGGACGUGGAAGUGCCUUCCAGUGACUGCUCAGGCACCGAAGACUGAUAUUCAAUAAAAGAACAGGUGUUUGUCAUGGGCUUCAGAAAAUUUAUGCUGUAGUUAAAGCAAAAGAAAAACACACUUCAAGCAUUCCUACCUUGCUCAGAAAACUACAAAGGGUGCAUGAAGUAGCACAAGAAGGAGGAGAAGGAAGAUUGGCUGUCAAGUAUUGCUCUGUUUUACCUUUAACAAAGUGCAUGGAAAUGGCUGUAGACAAAGGGCAUAAUGUGUUGAUAUCUGCUGAGUUAUGUAUCCACUGAACCCAGUUACCUUCCUUGCUGGUACAGGAGCACCACCUUGUCCUUUAGGCCACUGCUGCACCAAGCUCUGUUGCUUUCAUCUCUGCCUCCCAGCCCAGGGAGAGCAGAGCUUGGCAUAUCGGCUACAGGAGGAGCCUGCUCUCACCUGCAUUCUGUCAGUAGCUUUUCAGGAUGGAAAACUCCACUUAUCAUAUCAUUCUUCAGUAAUUUCUUUGUUGACUUGAAGCACAAACUCCUUUUGCUGUCGCUGCUUUGUGAUUAGCAUCUCUGCAGGGGAAACGUUGCCAGCAGGUGUGUGUUCACAUUGUGUCUCUGACAGCUCUUGCCAUAGCAGCCUUCUUACUGUAAGAGCUCCCCAGAGGGGCUGCAACUCCCUCCCUUAAUUUUGACAAUUUGGGGGCUCUGGGGGCUGUCUCAGCUAUUCAUAGGUGUGAAGGGAGGAAAGAAGUGUGUUUCUGCAAUCUUACACACGCUUGAUUUCUGUUCCAGUAACUUGCAGACUGUGUAGGAACAAAAAAAAUCCAGCCUUGCUUGAUUGUUCUUUAAUUUUAAACCAUAUAUUAUAGAGUACCUCAGUGAAUCUCAUAAUGUAGAAUCAUAUUUUGGAAUAUUUUAGUUUAAAAGCGUACUUAAGAACUGUCAAACUACUAAAAGUAGGCACUAGAAACUACCAAAAUGUGUGAAGUAUAGAAAGGGAACACCAAUAUGGCUAUUUCACUUUUGUCUGUCAUUACUAGCAAGUCACACAAAGAUCAUAUCCUGACAUGAAAUUCGGGUUGCUGGUUACCCAUUAGGAAUUCAUACAGUUGUUUAGAUCCUUAUCCCAACUGAAAAUAGUCAUAGUUUGGUGAUUGUUUCUCUGUUAUAGAGAAUGCUUUAUUUUCUUUGACAUUUUAAAGUAAUCAGAAACCUGAGACAAAGAAAAUCCACUAAGGACAUACACAAGUUUUGCUUAACAUUCAGUGUCGUGUCUGUAUGUACCACGUGCACUCCUACCCGAGUUAAUCUCUUAUAACUGCCAGCUCUAAUCUUUGGGCUGGCCAAGUGAUAGGUUCAUCUGCAAAGCACCCGCUAACUUAACCAGACAUGCAUCUGCAAGUUUUAUACUGAAAGGCUUACAUCUCUAUUAUUGGCAUCAUCAUCAUGAGUUUCCAGACCAGUACCAAUCCAUGCAGAUGUUCAGGAGGAUAUGUUGGAGUUUUAUUUGAAAUACAUCUAUUUUCUAAAGGAGUUUUGCUUAGUAAUAAUGGAAUGUUUUUCCAUCGGAAGAUGUUUGUGUACUCAGACAUCUACAAGUAAGGAGUAAUAUGGUAAUGUAUGACUCAUUCAUCCAAAUCCAGGCUUUUUUCAGUCACCUAUGAACUAUCCGUAUAUGCCUGGAGGGGGGUACAAACUGUAGAUGUCACUCAAUGCCUGAACUUCUAGCACCAAAAUCACAAGCUUGAAAAUUCCUCUUUUGAUCAUUUAAUGGAAUUGUAGCAGAUGGGAAACUUUUUUGAAUUGUGCUGUUUAAGACAUCCAUGUGAAAUGUGCUUCUUUCUCUGUGUUGCUUUUUUUGUUUUCCCUACAGAUAAUCAGCAAAAUGGGCUUGUAAAACCCAAACUGCCAUCACUUCUGUUUAUGAAUGUAACAGCAAGCCUUAAAGUGAAUGUAAUCAGAGUUUUCACAGGUGUCUUUCCUGAAGGGCAAUAAUAAUAGCAGAUUUUGAGCAACUUUCAUACCUGGGAGCUUAAAAUGUCCUUGCUGAAAAUCUCCUCAGCUCUGCCGCAUGUUUUGCAGCACCUCUGCCAAAAGAUAAGCAUAAAAGAAAAAGAUAGGAACACAAAGAGUUUUGCUCAGUACGUUCACACAUGUAGAGAAUAUUAGUCCCCAUACAUUUGUGGCCAAAUUGACUCCCUGCAGCUUAUCCCACCCACCACCUUACUGCAGCUUGUGGUCCUCAGCCCAUGUUUGGGCUGUGCUGAUAGCAGCAGGGAGCCUGCACCUUUUGAAGAAGGCUUCUUUAUGCUGUGUUCUAAAUUGUGUCCAAAUCGCCACCUUCUGCUUAGUUUAAUUAAAAUCAGUUGAGAUUUUUUAGGGCAAGUGAGAUAACAGGGACCUCUUUCCUAUCUUCAUUUUUUUAAAGGCUGUUCCUUCUCCAAACCACCAUAGGGGAAAAUAAACAACACCUAAGAUGCUUUGAACAUGCAUUUGCUAGGGCUGAUGCAUUUGGCAUGUACAAUAAUUACCUUCUUUCCACUUGCUAUAAAGGAGCAAGCCAACAAUAUCCAGGUUUUUUUCCACUCUCAUAAUUUCAGAGGCAAUCCAAUUACUAAUAAAUACCCUCAGCACAAAGCACAGCAAUUUUGUGCUGGAGUGACUGCUCUCACCUACCCCCAGGCUGAGUCUCUGUGCUCUUCCAAAACUGAGGUCAUUGGCAAGAAAGCUGUUGUUUGUUUUUUUUUUUUUUGUUGGAAUUACACAAGU